CCUCUGUAUUUGCUCUAUGGGUCUUAUUUGGCAAAGCUGUGUAAUUACCAAAUUUUCUAUCAAGAUGCUGUAUCCUACCUUCCCUCUUAAAGUCCUCAGGAAGACUAGCAGAAGCUUGGUGACAGAAACGUCAGACUACAGCUGUGGAUCUCUACUCUUCCACUACCCUCCAGAAUGAUGAAUGUUGUCAGAAUGACACAGAAACUUGUUGGUAUGUAUCCAGCAUGGCCUGGUCCCAGAAACAAAGAUGAAAAUGGAAACAAUUCUUUCAGAGAUCCUUGAACACUUUAGACGGGGGAACUGAGGCCUGGAGUGGUCGAAUGACUUCUUUGAUUUUAUACAGUGUAUGAGAGGCAGCAUUAGCAUAUGAGAGGUCCUGAGACUCAAUGAAGUUUCAGUUACAAGAAGAAAAAUUUAGAGAUUCUGUUUGCCAUGUUGAUUGUCAUCUGCCAUCUAUCUAUAGCAUGCCUGCUAUCAAAAAAGAAAGAUAACAAAGUGAAAUAGAUACCAAUUCAGGAAUCAGAAUUUAUUUAUUUAUCCUGUAUUCACUGAGUAUCUUCCACAUUCUAGGCACUGUUCUAUGUUCUGGGGAAAAAGUAGUAAACAAAAUAGACAAAAUUCUUGUUUUCGUACCCUAUAGGCCGUGAGACAAGCAGUGAAUAUGUUUAAGAAAAACCCAAAACCAAAC
rnacentral:lncRNA from 1 species